UCAGGAUGAACGCUAGCGACAGGCCUAACACAUGCAAGUCGAGGGGCAGCGUGACGUAGCAAUACGUUGACGGCGACCGGCGCACGGGUGCGUAACGCGUAUGUAACCUGGCUCCGACAGGGGGAUAGCCUUCCGAAAGGGAGAUUAAUAUCCCGUAACACGUUUGCUCGCAUGGGCAGACGUUGAAAGUGGCGACACGGUCGGAGAUGGACAUGCGUCCCAUUAGGCAGACGGCGGGGUAGCGGCCCACCGUGCCGACGAUGGGUAGGGGUCCUGAGAGGGAGGUCCCCCACACUGGUACUGAGACAGGGACCAGACUCCUACGGGAGGCAGCAGUGAGGAAUAUUGGUCAAUGGACGGAAGUCUGAACCAGCCAAGUCGCGUGCCAGGACUAAGGCCCUACGGGUCGCAGACUGCUUUUAUGCGGGGAUAAAGAGGGCGACGUGUCGCCCGAUGCAGGUACCGCAGGAAUAAGGAUCGGCUAACUCCGUGCCAGCCGCCGC
rnacentral:rRNA from 1 species